AGAGCGAACGCUGGCGGCAUGCUUAACACAUGCAAGUCUCACGGGCAGCAAUGUCAGUGGCGGACGGGUGAGUAACGCGUAGGUAUCUAUCCAUGGGUGGGGGAUAACGUCGGGAAACUGACGCUAAUACCGCAUGACAUCUGAGGAUCAAAGGCGCGAGUCGCCUGUGGAGGAGCCUGCGUACGAUUAGCUAGUUGGUGGGGUAAAGGCCUACCAAGGCGACGAUCGUUAGCUGGUCUGAGAGGAUGAUCAGCCACACUGGGACUGAGACACGGCCCAGACUCCUACGGGAGGCAGCAGUGGGGAAUAUUGGACAAUGGGCGAAAGCCUGAUCCAGCAAUGCCGCGUGUGUGAAGAAGGUCUUCGGAUUGUAAAGCACUUUCGGCGGGGACGAUGAUGACGGUACCCGCAGAAGAACGCCCGGCUAACUUCGCGCCAGCAGCCGCGGUAA
rnacentral:rRNA from 1 species